AAAACAGCCCUUUUCAGGGCUAUCACAAAAUUUAUAAAGAGUUGACU
rfam:Lutzomyia longipalpis Contig2778, whole genome shotgun sequence.